rnacentral:lncRNA from 1 species
GCAAUGAUUACGUAGUAAGUGCUAAAAUAUUUUUAUAAACAUUUUUACUGGGUAUGUAUAAACAUUUGUACAGUAUGUACAUUAGGAUGGCUACAAUCAAAAAGACACAUUAUAAGAAGUGUUAGCAAGCAUACAGAACUAUUAAAACCUUCAUAUGUUGUUACUGGGAAUAUAAAAUGAUACAGCUGCUUCAGAAAAAGAGUUUGACAGUUCCUCAAAAGUUCGACAGAGUUACCACACGACUUAGCAGUUCCACUCCUAUAUACUUAAGAGAUAUGUCCACAUAUAGACCAAUUAAGAAUCUGAUCUAAUUAUAUUAGUAUUCAUUAUACAUUAGUUUUCUUAGAGACGUCUUAGUUUUCAGGUAUGAUCAGAAAGGAUCAGUAAGUGCUCUUGAGCUAAAAAUUAUCCUCAAGGUCUUGGCGUUUCAGCUAAGAACAUAUUUAGACUACCAAUCAAAUUUUACCUCUGUUCAAAAUAAUCAUUUAGUUUCAUUUUUAGUCCUUAUUCACAGAAAAUUAUGGGCAGCUGGUAAAGUGGAUAUUGAAGUUAAAUAGGAAGUGAAUAUUAACCCCCCAACAAGUCCUAUUAUUGGAGGUCAUUAACUUUCUACCAGAAAACAAAGACCAAUAGGAAGAAAAAGUACAAAAUUACGUGAGUUGUAUGCUCUGUUUAUCACUGUAGUUUUAAGUUUUAUCCUUUUGUCGGGAACUUUCUAAGACCAUGCAAACACACACCAUGAUUUCCAAAGUCUUCAAACAACGUCUUUGUAGACAAAAAUAUUUCACAAUUAAAGUAACUAGCCACAAAGUAUCAAAAAAGUAUAUAUUUGGGUUUAUUGUAUACAAAAGACCAGCCUGAUCAACAUGGUAAAACCCCCAUCUCUACUGUAAAGAAGACAAAAAUUACACAGGCAUGGUGGUGCAUGCCUGUAGUCCCAGCUACUAGGGAAGCUGAAGCAGGAGAAUCACUUGAACCCAGGAGGCAGAGGUUGCAGUGAGCCAAGAUCUUGUUUUUUUGCUGUUGAGAUAUCAGAGUUCCUUGUAUAUUCUGGAUAUUAAUCCUCUGCUGGAUACAUACUUUGCAAAUAUUUUCUCCCAUCCUGUAGGUUGUCUUUUCACUCUGCCAAUUGUUUCCUUUGCAAUAACGUUAAUUUUUUAAAGAAAAGUAACUUAAAUGCUUGACAAUAUGGAAUUUAAAAUAUGGUACAUUCAAGCUGGGUGCGGUGGUGCAUGCUUAUAGUUGCAGCUAUCUGAAGGCUGAGGUGGAAGAAGAUCGCAUAAGCCCAGAAGUUUGAGACCAGCCUGGGCAACAUAAUAGCAAGACUUAGUCUCUUUUUUAAAAAAUGGUAUAUUCAAUUUAGGGAACACCAUACAGCAGUUAAAGACAAUGACCUAGAUGAACAAUGGUUCUCAAACUUCAAUGUGCAUCACAAUCACCUGAAGGACUUAAUAAAAAUGGCUGUUUUUAGUGAGAAACUAAGUAUUUAGUUAGAAACUAAGAACUGGCAUUUC